rnacentral:lncRNA from 1 species
CUUCUUCCUGCUCGUUGGGUAUAUCUAUUGAGACAAAGUGGCAUAUUAUUGAAAUUAAAAUAGAAGAAAAGUCUCUGCCAACAAUUAAGCAUCACACUGAGUCACACCUGCUGCCUUAAAGAUAAGCAUAUAAUUUAUUAGACAGACUUCUUGAGCAAUAUCUGAUACAGUUCAGUUCAGUUCAAUCGCUCAGUUGUGUCUGACUCUUUGCGACCCC